AUUGAACGCUGGCGGCAGGCCUAACACAUGCAAGUCGAACGAGUGGCGGACGGGUGAGUAAUGUCUGGGAAACUGCCCGCUGGAGGGGGAUAACUACUGGAAACGGUAGCUAAUACCGCAUACCAUCGGAUGUGCCCAGAUGGGCUUAGCUAGUAGGUGGGGUAACGGCUCACUUGGGCGACGAUCCCUAGCUGGUCUGAGAGGAUGACAAGCCACCCUGGAACUGAGAAACGGUCCAGACGCCUAGAGGAGGCAGCAGUGGGGAAUAGUGCACAAUGGGCGCAAGCCUGAUGCAGCGAUGCCGCGUGUAUGAAGAAGGCCUGCGGGUUGUAAAGUACUUUCAGCGAGGAGGCGUUACUCGCAGAAGAAGCACCGGCUAACUCCGUGCCAGCAGCCGCGGUAAUAC
rnacentral:rRNA from 1 species